rnacentral:lncRNA from 1 species
ACAGUUGAGGUACAGAGACAGCGUUCGCAGUCAGCUUGCUAGAGGACCUACACGGGCUCCUCAAGUUCCGCUGCUUCCUCCUCCAAGCUUGCUAGUAUUGAAAACCCAGGAGUUUGGGGUCAUUCAUCAGGAGGAUUCUGCUCCAGUUUGCCCCCUUCUUGGUCCUAGGAUACUGGAGGGCCAGAGAAAGCAAGCUUGAAACAGAGAGGAACGGGUCACUUUGGUGGAGGAAAUUGGGCCACCAAGCAGCCCUAUGGAGAGGCCAAUGUGGAGAGAAACUGAGGCCUUCCACCAAAAGCCAGCACCAACUUGCUAUCCAUGUGAGUGAACCAGCUUGCAGUACAGAGUGGUCAACCCCAGUCAAGCUUUCAGAUAACUACAAGCCUAGUUGACAUCUUGACUACAACUUCAAGAGAGACAUCAAGGCAGAACUGCUUCGCUAAACUGCUCUUGAAUUCUUGACCCACAGAAACUGAGAGAGAGAAUAAAUAUUUAUUGUUGUUUCAAGUAA